rnacentral:lncRNA from 1 species
AUAUACAAACAAGAAAAGAAUACAAUAAACCCCUUUAAGGUGUUAACCAGCUUCAAGGGCCAACAACUGUCUGCCACUUUGCUUCUCAGUUUUAUUUUUAAGGAAACCAUUUAAUUUUAAUUGAAUAUUACUGAAAUCAGCAACAGCAUCAGCAGCAAUACUCUUUGCCUUAAAGACCAAGGUGGGUGAAACACAUCCCUGGUUAACUUGAGAGAAGUAUGACAAAGAUGUAGGAGGUUGUGUUUUCUCAGUCUUUGACUUAAAAACUGGGAAAUCAGACUAAUCACUCUACAUGAUAAUCAGGAAGAUUUGUUAGUUGUUAUUUAAAUGUUUGGGAUUCUGCACUACUUUAAAGAAAUAAAAUAACUCAAAUCUUUAAAAAUGUCUUUUAAAAAAAUGCAUUCUUCAUUUUAACAUAGAUGCAAAGUAAAUCCUUUAGUAAGGAUCAUGACUUCUCUGCACUGGAUAGAAAGAAUUUAAGCCAGAAAAAAAAAAACCUAGAUAUUAUUUCAGGUAGCUGAAUAUUUCUAAAUCUGUAGGACCUGCUAAGAAAUAUC